AUGACACCUCCUCCCCUGCACCACCACCUCCUCCUUCUCCUCCUCCUCCUCCUCCUCCUCCUUCUCCACGGCCGGGAAGCCGGGAGGGCCGUACCUGGCUGGGGAUGGGAGGGACUGCCCUGCCUUGGUGUUCGCCCUCCCCCGCCCCUACUGGAGGGGCCCGAGUGCCCUAGGUUCGGGCCGGUCCCGCCUCCUUUCCCGCCCCACCCUCUCCCUCCCAGGCGGGCCUUCCUAUCCCCUCCUGCCGGGCCCCACCCUCUUCACCACCUCUCCGGCCCCGCCCCACCCCUCCGAGGCUCCGCGCGCUCGCCCCACCCUCUCUCGGUCCCCCUCCCCCUCUCUCGGCCGCCGCGGCUGCUGCCGCUGCGGGUCCCUUUUAAGGAGCUCCACCCAGGGGCAGCCCAGGGUGGGGCUGUCAGCCCGUUCACACCUCAUCGCUCAGUUGGAGAGAGACGAGUCCGAGACCCAGGGAGAGGAGAGACCAGAGAUCCGAGAAAGACACCGAGCCCGACGCGGGGCCAGAGAGAGGGGGGAGGGUCCUCGAGGGCCGCCUGCCGGUCCCCUCCCCUCCGAGCCCCUCUGCGCCCCGCCCCGCCGAGCCCCGUACCUCCCCUGGUCUGCCUAGGCCGGGGCCGGCGGGCCGGCGGAGCCCAGCAGGGCAGGACCGGGCCGGGCAGGGCAGAUCGCGGCCGCCGCCGCCUCCACGCCAUCCAGCCCCGGGAGCAGUGGUCGCUGCUACGGCUGCUGAAGCCCCUGGUCCCGGCUCCGUCUGGGCGAGCGAGCCCCGAGGGCGCCUUCUGGGGCUGGGGGCCCGGGGCCAAGCAGCCGGAGGGCGGAUGGGCAGAGGCCGAGGGGGGCUCGCCUCCGCCUCCUCCUGGGAACCCCGGGCGCCCUUGGAGGCCCGCUGGGGAGCCGCCGCUAGGGGAGGGGGCCGCUAGGCACGGGGUCCCCCUCCUCUUCCCCCCCCCGCCCCUCGGCCGGAUGCCUCGUGCACGCCUCCGGGGUCCUGGGCGCUAG
rnacentral:lncRNA from 1 species